GGAGAGGUGGCUGAGCGGUUGAAAGCGGCUCCCUGCUAAGGAGUUACAGGGGGUAACUCUUGUCGAGGGUUCGAAUCCCCUCCCUCUCCG
rnacentral:tRNA from 1 species